GACGAACGCUGGCGGCGUGCCUAACACAUGCAAGUCGAACGGGGUUAAGAGCUUCGGUUUUUAACUUAGUGGCGAACGGGUGAGUAACGCGUGAGGAACCUGCCUUUCAGUGGGGGACAACAGUUGGAAACGACUGCUAAUACCGCAUAAUGUACUUUUGGGGCAUCCCUGAGGUACCAAAGAUUUAUUGCUGAAAGAUGGUCUCGCGUCUGAUUAGCUAGUUGGUGAGGUAACGGCCCACCAAGGCGACGAUCAGUAGCCGGUCUGAGAGGAUGAACGGCCACAUUGGGACUGAGAUACGGCCCAGACUCCUACGGGAGGCAGCAGUGGGGAAUAUUGGGCAAUGGGGGAAACCCUGACCCAGCAACGCCGCGUGAAGGAAGAAGGCCUUCGGGUUGUAAACUUCUUUUACCAGGGACGAAGAACGUGACGGUACCUGGAGAAAAAGCAACGGCUAACUACGUG
rnacentral:rRNA from 1 species